rnacentral:rRNA from 1 species
UCGGACUAAUACCGCAUGAAGCAGGGGCCCCCGCAUGGGGAUAUUUGCUAAAGAUUCAUCGCUGAUAGAUAGGCAUGCGUUCCAUUAGGCAGUUGGCGGGGUAACGGGCCCACCAAACCGACGAUGGAUAGGGGUUCUGAGAGGAAGGUCCCCCACAUUGGUACUGAGACACGGACCAAACUCCUACGGGAGGCAGCAUG